rnacentral:rRNA from 1 species
AUUGAACGCUGGCGGCAUGCCUUACACAUGCAAGUCGAACGGCAGCACGGGAGCAAUCCUGGUGGCGAGUGGCGAACGGGUGAGUAACAUAUCGGAACGUGCCCAGUCGUGGGGGAUCACGACGCGAAAGCUGUUAUAAUAUCGCAUCCCAUCGAUGGAUGAAAGCGGGGGUUGGCAAGACCUCCUCGGAGUGGAGGUGCCGAUAUACGAUUAGCUAGGUGGGGAGGUAAAGGCUUAGCAAGGCGAGGAUCUGUAGGUGGGAUGAGAGGACGGCACGACAGACUGGAACAGAGACACGGUCCAGACUCCUAGGGGAGGCAGCAGUGGGGAAUUUUGGACAAUGGGCGCAAGCCUGAUCCAGCAAUGCCGCGUGCAGGAUGAAGGCCUUCGGGUUGUAAACUGCUUUUGUACGGAACGAAACGGUCAUUCCUAAUACGAGAGGCUAAUGACGGUACCGUAAGAAUAAGCACCGGCUAACUACGUGCCAGCAGCCGCCGUAA